rnacentral:rRNA from 1 species
CGAGCGGACAGAAGGGAGCUUGCUCCCGGAUGUUAGCGGCGGACGGGUGAGUAACACGUGGGUAACCUGCCUGUAAGACUGGGAUAACUCCGGGAAACCGGAGCUAAUACCGGAUAGUUCCUUGAACCGCAUGGUUCAAGGAUGAAAGACGGUUUCGGCUGUCACUUACAGAUGGACCCGCGGCGCAUUAGCUAGUUGGUGAGGUAACGGCUCACCAAGGCGACGAUGCGUAGCCGACCUGAGAGGGUGAUCGGCCACACUGGGACUGAGACACGGCCCAGACUCCUACGGGAGGCAGCAGUAGGGAAUCUUCCGCAAUGGACGAAAGUCUGACGGAGCAACGCCGCGUGAGUGAUGAAGGUUUUCGGAUCGUAAAGCUCUGUUGUUAGGGAAGAACAAGUGCAAGAGUAACUGCUUGCACCUUGACGGUACCUAACCAGAAAGCCACGGCUAACUACGUGCCAGCAGCCGCGGUAAUACGUAGGUGGCAAGCGUUGUCCGGAAUUAUUGGGCGUAAAGGGCUCGCAGGCGGUUUCUUAAGUCUGAUGUGAAAGCCCCCGGCUCAACCGGGGAGGGUCAUUGGAAACUGGGAAACUUGAGUGCAGAAGAGGAGAGUGGAAUUCCACGUGUAGCGGUGAAAUGCGUAGAGAUGUGGAGGAACACCAGUGGCGAAGGCGACUCUCUGGUCUGUAACUGACGCUGAGGAGCGAAAGCGUGGGGAGCGAACAGGAUUAGAUACCCUGGUAGUCCACGCCGUAAACGAUGAGUGCUAAGUGUUAGGGGGUUUCCGCCCCUUAGUGCU